AGCAGCCGCGGUAAUUCCAGCUCCAAUAGCGUAUAUUAAAGUUGUUGCAGUUAAAAAGCUCGUAGUUGAAUUUCGGGGUUAGUAGGUUGGUCAUGCCUCUGGUAUGUACUGGUCUCACUGAUUCCUCCUUCCUGAUGAACCGUAAUGCCAUUAAUUUGGUGUUGCGGGGAAUUUGGACUGUUACUUUGAAAAAAUUAGAGUGUUUAAAGCAGGCUCACGCUUGAAUACAUUAGCAUGGAAUAACGGAAUAGGACGUUUGAUUCUAUUUUGUUGGUUUCUAGGAUCGACGUAAUGAUUAAUAGGGAUAGUUGGGGGCAUUAGUAUUCAAUUGUCAGAGGUGAAAUUCUUGGAUUUAUUGAAGACUAACUACUGCGAAAGCAUUUGCCAAGGAUGUUUUCAUUAAUCAAGAACGAAAGUUAGGGGAUCGAAGACGAUCAGAUACCGUCGUAGUCUUAACCAUAAACUAUGCCGACUAGGGAUCGGAUGAUGUUAAUUUUUAAUGACUCAUUCGGCGCCUUAC
rnacentral:rRNA from 1 species